rnacentral:rRNA from 1 species
CCUACGGGUGGCAGCAGUGAGGAAUAUUGGUCAAUGGACGCGAGUCUGAACCAGCCAAGUCGCGUGAAGGAUGACUGCCCUAUGGGUUGUAAACUUCUUUUGUAUGGGAAUAAAACAGGGUAUGCAUACCCUCUUGUAUGUACCAUAUGAAUAAGGAUCGGCUAACUCCGUGCCAGCAGCCGCGGUAAUACGGAGGAUCCAAGCGUUAUCCGGAUUUAACGGGUUUAAAGGGAGCGCAGGGGGAUUGGUAAGUCAGUUGUGAAAGUCUGCGGCUCAACCGUAAAAGUGCAUUUGAAACUGGCAGGCUGGAGUACCGGAGAGGUAGGCGGAAUUCGUGGUGUAGCGGUGAAAUGCGUAGAUAUCACGAAGAACUCCGAUUGCGAAGGCAGCUCACUGGACUGCAACUGACACUGAUGCUCGAAAGUGUGGGUAUCAAACAGGAUUAGAUACCCUUGUAGUC